GGCUCAGAACGAACGCUGGCGGCGUGCCUAACACAUGCAAGUCGAGCGGGAACGUCCCUUCGGGGGGCUAGUACAGCGGCGAACGGGUGAGUAACACGUAGGUAACCUACCCUGGUGUCUGGGAUAACCUGUCGAAAGGCGGGCUAAUACCGGAUAAGACCACGAGGACUUCGGUCCACGCGGUAAAAGAUGGCCUAUGCUUGCAAGCUAUCGCAUCGGGAGGGGCCUGCGCGCCAUUAGCUAGUUGGUGAGGUAACGGCUCACCAAGGCUGAGAUGGCUAGCUGGUCUGAGAGGAUGAUCAGCCACACUGGGACUGAGACACGGCCCAGACUCCUACGGGAGGCAGCAGUGGGGAAUAUUGCACAAUGGGGGAAACCCUGAUGCAGCGACGCCGCGUGAGUGAUGAAGUAUUUCGGUAUGUAAAACUCUAUCAGCAGGGAAGAUAAUGACGGUACCUGACUAAGAAGCACCGGCUAAAUACGUG
rnacentral:rRNA from 1 species